rnacentral:rRNA from 1 species
CCUACGGGAGGCUGCAGUGGGGAAUAUUGGACAAUGGGGGAAACCCUGAUCCAGCCAUGCCGCGUGUGUGAAGAAGGCUCUCGGGUUGUAAAGCACUUUCAGUGAGGAAGAACGCCUGGUGGUUAAUACCCAUCAGGAAAGACAUCACUCACAGAAGAAGCACCGGCUAACUCCGUGCCAGCAGCCGCGGUAAUACGGAGGGUGCGAGCGUUAAUCGGAAUUACUGGGCGUAAAGCGCGCGUAGGUGGCUUGAUAAGCCGGUUGUGAAAGCCCCGGGCUCAACCUGGGAACGGCAUCCGGAACUGUCAAGCUAGAGUGCAGGAGAGGAAGGUAGAAUUCCCGGUGUAGCGGUGAAAUGCGUAGAGAUCGGGAGGAAUACCAGUGGCGAAGGCGGCCUUCUGGACUGACACUGACACUGAGGUGCGAAAGCGUGGGUAGCAAACAGGAUUAGAUACCCUAGUAGUC